UCCUGGUUAGCUCAGUUGGUAGAGCACUCCACUGUAAAUGGAGAGGUGGACCUGGUG
rnacentral:tRNA from 1 species